GCACAACGCGAAGAACCUUACCAGGGCUUGACAUCCCGCUGAUCGGUGUAGAGAUAUGCCUUCCCCUUCGGGGGACAGCGGUGACAGGUGGUGCAUGGUUGUCGUCAGCUCGUGUCGUGAGAUGUUGGGUUCAGUCCCGCAACGAGCGCAACCCUUGUUUCUAGUUGCCAGCACUUCGGGUGGGCACUCUAGAGAGACAGCCGGUGAAAGCCGGAGGAAGGUGGGGAUGACGUCAAAUCAUCAUGCCCCUUAUGUCCUGGGCUACACACGUGCUACAAUGGCUGGUACAAAGGGCAGCGAACCCGCGAGGGGGAGCCAAUCCCAAAAAACCAGUCUCAGUUCGGAUUGCAGGCCGCAACUCGCCUGCAUGAAGUCGGAAUCGCUAGUAAUCGCGGAUCAGCAUGCCGCGGUGAAUACGUUCCCGGGUCUUGUACACACCG
rnacentral:rRNA from 1 species